rnacentral:lncRNA from 1 species
GAUGCUAAAUUUUUAUUUAACUAUAUUUAUUUAAAACGAAUUAAAAUUUAAAUAUUAUUUAAAUAAUAAUACAUAAUAAAAUAUUUUUAUAUAAAUUAAAAUUAGCACAAUAAAAUAUAAAAUAACUAAAUUAUGAAUGUGAAAUUUUGAAUAAAAUCAUUAGAUUCUUGAAUAACUGUGCUAGAUAUGUGGAUAAAAUUAUUUCGAAUAUCAAUCAUUAAAUUUUUAGACAACUGUGCUAAAUACGAC